ACGGAAGGCAGCAGUGGGGAAUAUUGGGCAAUGGGCGAAAGCCUGACCCAGCAACGCCGCGUGAAGGAAGAAGGCCUUCGGGUUGUAAACUUCUUUUACCAGGGACGAAGGACGUGACGGUACCUGGAGAAAAAGCCACGGCUAACUACGUGCCAGCAGCCGCGGUAAUAAGUAGGUGGCAAGCGUUGUCCGGAUUUACUGGGUGUAAAGGGCGUGUAGGCGGAACUGUAAGUCAGAUGUGAAAUCCCGGGGCUCAACCCCGGAACUGCAUUUGAAACUGCAGUCCUUGAGUAUCGGAGAGGCAAGCGGAAUUCCCAGUGUAGCGGUGAAAUGCGUAGAUAUUAGGAGGAACACCAGUGGCGAAGGCGGCUUGCUGGACGACAACUGACGCUGAGGAGCGAAAGCGUGGGGAGCAAACAGGAUUAGAUACCUGGUA
rnacentral:rRNA from 1 species